AUUAUUUCUUGCUAGGAAAACCACGUUCCCAUAUUUCUUCAUAAAACAACUCAUGAUUCCCCUUGUGUUAUUUUCUCCUUUUCUUCCUUUCUGAUGUGAUUGAUUUCUUCCCUGUGUGGAUUUCCUUUUGGGGAACAACAGUCCCAUUUUCUUGGUCCUCAAAUCCUCUCUCAAGAAGACUCCCCUCUCUUGGGCACCAUCAAGGAAGGGCUGAAUGUCACUAGUCGAGACUUGAGCCAUUCAAGGUCAGCCAUGUUUGACCAUGGGACUAGUUCUGAAGGAGGAACAGGAGAAAAAUCAGGUUUGAAGAUGUUGAGGUACAAACCAUGGCAGCAACUGAGACAGCUGCUAUGGAAACCAGCAGCCUGCAGCAACAUGAACUUAGCAACCGUUGAGUGUCUCUGACUUGGAGUGUUCUCUCUGUACAAGGUUUUCCUUUGGGAAAACUCCUGUCCCACCCAGGACUGUUAUGAAGACAGCUUGAGAAGAUACAUGGAAGCACUAUGAACUAU
rnacentral:lncRNA from 1 species